rnacentral:misc_RNA from 1 species
ACAUUGUGCUUCCACCAUGGGGCUUCGUACCACUUCACUACAAGAAUAUCAAGUGCAUUAGAACACAUCUCAACCUAACGAAAAUAUACGGGCUCACAGGCACAGAGACAUAAGUGCUAGUAAUGAAGAUAUUGGAAGUUUCACUAUUGUCUCAAAUUCAAAAGAAAAACAGGGACCAGAAGUGAGAUCUAUUCAGCUGGGACAGAAAAAGGUAAUUGAUUGUCUGAUCAAGAAAGAAAGAGCGAGAGUAUGAUUGGCUGUUUCCUCUUGUCAUAGAAAAAUCAAAACUUUACCGUUUCCCCUUGUCAUAGAAAAAUCCAAACUUUUCAAAUCAAGAGCAAUCUAACUUAAUUAGUUGGUCCAACUGAUUAUCGCUUACCAGAACCUUCUGAUUAACUGUCUUCAAUGUUUCAUGAAAGUUACAUACCUUUUCUACCACUGAAAAUAGAUAAUAGAAUACUUUCCUAAUUGCCUAAUUAUGCUUGUAGGAAAUGUUAACGGUAAACCUUUGAGGUCAUCCCAGUUAAAGUGGAGAAUAGGUUCAGG